rnacentral:misc_RNA from 1 species
GAUGAAGAACGUAGCGAAAUGCGAUAAGUAAUGUGAAUUGCAGAAUUCAGUGAAUCAUCGAAUCUUUGAACGCACAUUGCGCCCGCCAGUAUUCUGGCGGGCAUGCCUGUUCGAGCGUCAUUACAACCCUCAGGCCCCCGGGCCUGGCGUUGGGGAUCGGCGGAAGCCCCCUGCGGGCACAACGCCGUCCCCCACAUACAGUGGCGGUCCCGCCGCAGCUUCCAUUGCGUAGUAGCUAACACCUCGCAACUGGAGAGCGGCGCGGCCACGCCGUAAAACACCCAACUUCUGAAUGUUGACCUCGAAUCAGGUAGGAAUACCAGCUGAACUUAAGCAUAUCAAUAAGCGGAGGA